CACAACGAAGUGCGAUGUCAAAAGUGAAAAAAAAAGUAAUCAGUGCAGAUUGCAACAGUAUAAGUGUGAGUUCGAUGAGAUUAUACUACAGAUGGCAAAAUACUUUAUUGCCGCGUGUGUGAAAAAGCAGUUUAGUGAAAAAGUUUUCAAGUCGUUCAGCUUGUGGAGACCAAUAACCACACAGAGAACGUAAAACGUAAAUCCACGAAAAGUGCUCCUGUCCAAAUGUUUUUUUAGGCGAAUGUUUUAACAGAAUGCAGCGGCUGCAGCAAACUCGGAUACAUCGCCAUCGCUUGCCACGGUAUAUAAUGUCUGCAGUCCUGGUUACGCAUUGAAAUCGUCACGCCACAAUGCCGUAGGACGCCACUGACGCCACGAUAGCAGUGGUUCUCAAACUCUUCCCCUGACGGAACACUGCAAAUCAUGGCACUUUCAUG